rnacentral:rRNA from 1 species
GUAGUCAUAUGCUUGUCUCAAAGAUUAAGCCAUGCAUGUCUAAGUAUAAGCACUCAUACUGUGAAACUGCGAAUGGCUCAUUAAAUCAGUUAUCGUUUAUUUGAUAGUACCUUUACCUGGAUAACCGUGGUAAUUCUAGAGCUAAUACAUGCUAAAAACCCCAACUUCGGGAGGGGUGUAUUUAUUAGAUAAAAAACCAAUGCCCUCUGGGCUCCUUGGUGAUUCAUAAUAACUUAACGAAUCGCAUGGCCUUGCGCCGGCGGAUGGUUCAUUCAAAUUUCUGCCCUAUCAACUUUCGAUUGUAGGAUAGAAACCUACAAUGGUCUUAACGGGUAACGGGGAAUUAGGGUUCGACUCCGGAGAGGGAGCCUGAGAAACGGCUACCACAUCCAAGGAAGGCAGCAGGCGCGCAAAUUACCCAAUGCUAAUUCAGCGAGGUAGUGACAAUAAAUACUGAUACGGGGCUCUUUCGGGUCUCGUAAUUGGAAUGAGUACAAUCUAAAUCCCUUAACGAGGAACAAUUGGAGGGCAAGUCUGGUGCCAGCAGCC